UUUGUGUCAACGGCGCAACAGAAAAGAACAGAAAAGUUUAAGCACAUGAAGGACCGCAGAGCGUCAUUCCUCUUCAAAAAGUGAUUCACAUUAGCGACUCUAUUGAUCUAGGUGGAACUUAUAAUAUGGUUUGUAUAUUGUUUGAAUAAAAGUGGAAUUAAAGUAAUGCGUAACUGGCGAUACGUGUGUGUGUGUGUGUGUGUGUGUGUGUGUGUGUGUGUGUGUGUGUGUGUGUGUGUGUGUGUGGUGGACACAACGUCACGUGGGCUCUCGAAGGGAGCUGUUCACCUGUCUUUGGUGCUGAAAUGGCUUUUCGGCUGUGGUAUAUUGUGUGUGGUGGCUUUGAUUCCUGUGCGUUGGUUGUGCGCCGUUGACGCCUUUGUGUCAACGGCGCAACAGAAAAGAACAGAAAAGUUUAAGCACAUGAAGGACCGCAGAGCGCCAUUCCUCUUCAAAAAGUGAUUCACAUCAGCGACUCUAUUGAUCUAGGUGGAACUUAUAAUAUGGUUUGUAUAUUGUUUGAAUAAAAGUGGAAUUAAAGUAAUGCGUAACUGGCGAUACGUGUGUGGGUGUGUGUGUGUGUGUGUGUGUGUGGUGGACACAACGUCACGUGGGCUCUCGAUGGGAGCUGUUCACCUGUCUUUGGUGCUGAAAUGGCUUUUUGGCUGUGGUAUAUUGUGUGUGGUGGCUUUGAUUCCUGUGCGUUGGUUGUGCGCCGUUGACGCCUUUGUGUCAACGGCGCAACAGAAAAGAACAGAAAAGUUUAAGCACAUGAAGGACCGCAGAGCGUCAUUCCUCUUCAAAAAGUGAUUCACAUCAGCAACUCCAUUGAUCUAGGUGGAACUUAUAAUAUGGUUUGUAUAUUGUUUGAAUAAAAGUGGAAUUAAAGUAAUGCGUAACUGGCGAUACGUGUGUGUGUGUGUGUGUGUGUGUGUGGUGGACACAACGUCACGUGGGCUCUCGAUGGGAGCUGUUCACCUGUCUUUGGUGCUGAAAUGGCUUUUUGGCUGUGGUAUAUUGUGUGUGGUGGCUUUGAUUCCUGUGCGUUGGUUGUGCGCCGUUGACGUCUUUGUGUUUUUAUUAUUGUCACGCUGUGUCGAUCUUGACCAUUUGAUAUUGUGAGCUCUUAAACACUGACAUUU